rnacentral:rRNA from 1 species
GACGAACGCUGGCGGCGUGCUUAACACAUGCAAGUCGAACGGAAAGGCCCUGCUUUUGUGGGGUGCUCGAGUGGCGAACGGGUGAGUAACACGUGAGUAACCUGCCCUUGACUUUGGGAUAACUUCAGGAAACUGGGGCUAAUACCGGAUAGGAGCUCCUGCUGCAUGGUGGGGGUUGGAAAGUUUCGGCGGUUGGGGAUGGACUCGCGGCUUAUCAGCUUGUUGGUGGGGUAGUGGCUUACCAAGGCUUUGACGGGUAGCCGGCCUGAGAGGGUGACCGGCCACAUUGGGACUGAGAUACGGCCCAGACUCCUACGGGAGGCAGCAGUGGGGAAUAUUGCACAAUGGGCGGAAGCCUGAUGCAGCAACGCCGCGUGCGGGAUGACGGCCUUCGGGUUGUAAACCGCUUUCGCCCGCGACGAAGCGUGAGUGACGGUAAUGGGUAAAGAAGCACCGGCUAACUACGUG